UGUGGUUUUGUUCAGCUGAGCAUGGGCAGGGCAGGAAGACUGACAGUUCACCAUUUCCUGUACCGAGAAGCCCCUCUGCCUCCUCCGGAACUCCACCCCUAUCCUGUCCUCCUUCCUAGCUCCUUCCCAGCCUCCUCAAGGUUUUGUCAGCACCCUCACAGGGUGGCCAGGUCCCAUCGGGGUUGUCCGAGCAUGUGUGUGCAGGUACGUGUAGGUGUGUAUGUGGGUGUGUGAGUGAGUGAAGGCUUGCAUGUUUCAUGUUUUCAGAAGCGUUGAGGAAGAAGAAAAGAAGACAUCUGACUUUUCUUGUGACAUCACAAAGGGCAAGAAACUAAGAAAUGCCUCAGGCUCCUGCAGAGAAGAAGGGAUGGGCAGUAAUAGCUUGGGGCAGGACCGGGGUAGGACGGCAAUUCAUGGAUGGAGGAAUAACAAGACCUGGUGAGAUCAGCUUGGCCUAUCUCCCAGCUGGGCAGGAACACGGGACUCCAGGGCAUGGAGGACCCCCACCCUCGCCCAUGGCCAGCACCCACCUGUGCCAGCACCUUCCUGUCCAGAGCUGACCAGGAGAAUGGUGCUUGCCUGGGAGCUGCUCCUCAUGGCCCUGCUGGCCCUAUGCUGGGAGCUUAGCCUGGUAGGGGAGAAGAAACCGUCCUGCUGUGGAACCUGUGCUCUACAGCGACUACACCAGUCACAUCACUUGCAGGUGGAUGGACACCCAGGUUGCCCAGCGGCUCAUCAAUGUGACCCUCAUUUGCCGGGUGAAUGAGUGAAUGACGCUGGGUGCAGGGAACAUGGGCAGGGUCCCCUGUGCCUGGUGUGGGACGGUGGUGUAGAGAGGGACAUGUCAGGUCAGCCUCGGGGUGGGAGUGGACAGAGGACAGAGAAGGAGGGAGGCCCUCCCGGGAGUUCCUGCCCCACCAGACACCUGCCAGUCCAGGCACUGUCGUCUAACCUGGGGUUUCUGGGGAGUACCUUCUACACUGGUGUCAUUGAUGAUGGUGGUGGUAACAAUGGUGACAAUCUUCUUAUUUUGUCACAAUUUAACACAGUUGCCCCACAUGAUCUAUCUUAGUUCCUCCUCACUGUGAAGUGGGCAGGGCCAGGCCACGAUGCCCAGUUCACAGAUGGGGAAACUGAGGCCCUGGAGGUGAGGCGCCAGCCCUGGCCACAGACACAGGCUGUGUGGACGUGUCUGGGAGGGGGCUCCAUGCUCUCCCAGGCUCCCCCUCUGCGCACGGGCUGCCACCUCUCCCUCCCGAGCUCUCCUGGGCACGAACCACACAGGAAGGGGACCAGCAUCGCUCUACAGUGUUGGCCAGGGUCUGAAUCAGCCUUAAAUGAAAUAAUUAAGCCACUGGAUCCAGAGAGGCAGGUGACAACUGAUUGGUGAUUCCCCCACCUAGAGGGGGAGGAGGGCUCGGCUCUGCCACCCCCCACCCCUCUAUCACCUUAAGUUCUCCUGGGGGCCUCCAUUACACUUUCUCCAUUCUCCUCAAAGGCCAUCCUGCCACUCCCUCUGACCUGCUUCCUGCUGCUCUGGUACAACAGGGGACCAGGGAGAAGCUUCUCACCCAACCCACACUUACACUCCCCACUCCCUCUGCCUACGACCGGGGCCUGGGCCUGGGCCUGGGCCUGGUUCUGGGCUGGGGUUCCUGUCUAAGGCUUGAGACCUGAUGCUGUAUGGUCCUGUUGCUCAGGGGAAGUGUGGGUUCAAGGUCGCCUUUGGGAGAUGCUGUCAUGGCCUGAGGUGGUCUCUGCAGAGUGGACACAGGAGAGAGGAGGACAUCAUGGCCUCAGGCCAUCAGGCCUCAGGAACAUCAUGGCCCCCAAGUCCCCACUCUGCCCUGUGCCACCCACCGUGCCCUCUCUCAGGAUCUUUCCUAAUCGCCUUGCAAACCUGCCCCGACCCCCUCUCAGAUGCCCACCAGAGUGCAGCGCCUGGGCAUCUCCUGAGCUCACAACCCUGUGGCCUCCCUUUCUCUGCUUCCCUCGACAGCAGCACCCCAAUAAAGAGUUGUCCACA